rnacentral:misc_RNA from 1 species
UCUCCGUUGGUGAACCAGCGGAGGGAUCAUUACCGAGUUUACAACUCCCAAACCCAGUGUGAACCAUACCAAACUGUUGCCCCGGCGGGGUCACGCCCCGGGUGCGUCGCAGCCCCGGAACCAGGCGCCCGCCGGAGGGACCAACCAAACUCUUUCUGUAGUCCCCUCGCGGACGUUAUUUUUACAGCUCUGAGCUAAAAUUCAAAAUGAAUCAAAACUUUCAACAACGGAUCUCUUGGUUCUG